rnacentral:rRNA from 1 species
CACGUAGUUAGCCGGUGCUUAUUCAUGAGUUACCGUCAUAUUCUUCACUCAUAAAAGCAGUUUACAACCCGAAGGCCUUCAUCCUGCACGCGGCGUUGCUCCAUCAGGCUUUCGCCCAUUGUGGAAGAUUCCUUACUGCUGCCUCCCGUAGGAGUCUGGACCGUGUCUCAGUUCCAGUCUGACUGAUCAUCCUCUCAAACCAGUUACGGAUCGUAGGCUUGGUGAGCCAUUACCUCACCAACAACCUAAUCCGACGCGGGCUCCUCCCAAAGCGCUCGAAAGCUUUAAUCCGAAGACCAUAUGCGGCAUUAGCCACCCUUUCGGGCAGUUAUUCCUCACUUUGGGGCAGAUUCCCACGCGUUACUCAGCCGUCCGCCGCUCGUCAGCAAGUAGUAAACUACUCCUGUUACCGCUCGACUUGCAUGUAUUAGGCACGCCGCCAGCAUUCAUCCUGAGCCAGGAUCAAAACUC